UACAUAGGGGGCAAGCGUUGUUCGGAAUUACUGGGCGUAAAGGGCGCGUAGGCGGCCUGUUAAGUCGUACGUGAAAUCCCUAGGCUCAACCUAGGAACUGCGUCCGAUACUGGCAGGCUUGAAUCCGGGAGAGGGAUGCGGAAUUCCAGGUGUAGCGGUGAAAUGCGUAGAUAUCUGGAGGAACACCGGUGGCGAAGGCGGCAUCCUGGACCGGCAUUGACGCUGAGGCGCGAAAGCGUGGGGAGCGAACAGG
rnacentral:rRNA from 1 species